rnacentral:rRNA from 1 species
ACCUUGCGCUGAUUGAGCGGCCGAUAUCAGAUUAGCUAGUUGGUGAGGUAAAGGCUCACCAAGGCGACGAUCUGUAGCGGGUCUGAGAGGAUGAUCCGCCACACUGGAACUGAGACACGGUCCAGACUCCUACGGGGAGGCAGCAGUGGGGAAUUUUGGACAAUGGGCGCAAGCCUGAUCCAGCCAUGCCGCGUGAGUGAAGAAGGCCUUCGGGUUGUAAAGCUCUUUCGGCCGGGAAGAAAUCGCACAGGUUAAUACCCUGUGUGGAUGACGGUACCGGAAUAAGAAGCACCGGCUAACUACGUG